AUUGAACGCUGGCGGCAGGCUUAACACAUGCAAGUCGAACGAGUCGCGGACGUGUGAGUAAUGCUUGUGAAACUUCCCGGUGGAGGGGGAUAAAUACUGGACACGAUAGCUAAUACCGCAUACCAUAGCAUGUGCCCGAGUUGGAUUUGGUAGUUGGUGAGGUAAAGUCACACCAAGCCGACGAUCUCUAGCUGGUCUGAGAGGAUGACCAGCCACACUGGAACUGAGACACGGCCCAGACGCCUACGGGAGGCAGCAGUGGGGAAUAUUGGGCAAUGGGGGAAAGCCUGACGCAGCCAUGCCGCGUGUAUGAAGAAGGCCUUCGGGUUGUAAAGGUCUUUCGGUAGAGAGGCGUUACCUACAGAAUAAGCACCGGCUAACUCCGUGCCAGCAGCCGCGGUAAUUC
rnacentral:rRNA from 1 species